AAAAAAAAACCCUCAAGGCUCCCAAAAAGCAGUCGAAGGAGAUGGACGAUGAGGACAUGGCUUUCAAACAGAAACAGAAAGAGGAGCAGAAAGCAAUGGAACAGCUGAAAGCCAAGGCUGCUGGGAAAGGACCUUUAACUGGAGGAGGAAUCAAGAAGUCUGGGAAGAAAUGUGUGUAUAUCUG